rnacentral:rRNA from 1 species
AACGAACGCUGGCGGCAUGCCUAACACAUGCAAGUCGAACGAAGCCUUCGGGCUUAGUGGCGCACGGGUGCGUAACGCGUGGGAAUCUGCCCUUGGGUUCGGAAUAACAGUUAGAAAUGACUGCUAAUACCGGAUGAUGUCUUCGGACCAAAGAUUUAUCGCCCAGGGAUGAGCCCGCGUAGGAUUAGGUAGUUGGUGGGGUAAUGGCCCACCAAGCCGACGAUCCUUAGCUGGUCUGAGAGGAUGAUCAGCCUCACUGGGACUGAGACACGGCCCAGACUCCUACGGGAGGCAGCAGUGGGGAAUAUUGGACAAUGGGCGAAAGCCUGAUCCAGCAAUGCCGCGUGAGUGAUGAAGGCCUUAGGGUUGUAAAGCUCUUUUACCCGGGAUGAUAAUGACAGUACCGGGAGAAUAAGCCCCGGCUAACUCCGUGCCAGCAGCCGCAGUAAGAC